UCCCCUUCAUGCCGGGGUACUGGCAUGACCUCCCUGUUGGACUGUCCGGGCCCUGUGCCCGGACUUUUUU
rnacentral:ncRNA from 1 species